rnacentral:rRNA from 1 species
CCUACGUGAGGCAGCAGUAGGGAAUAUUUCUCAAUGGGGGAAACCCUGAAGCAGCAACGCCGCGUGGAGGAUGCAGGUUUUAGUAUUGUACCCUCCUUUUGUUAGACAAGAUUAUGACGGUAUCUAACGAAUAAGCCCCUGCUAACUCCGUGCCAGCCGCCGCGGUAAGACGGAGGGUGCAAGCGUUCCUCGGAAUCACUGGGCGUAAAGAGUGCGUAGGCUGGGUAAUAAGUCAGAUGUGAAAUCCUGUAGCUUAACUACAGAACUGCAUGUGAAACUGUUGCUCUGGAGUGUGGGAGAGGUAGGUGGAAUUCUUGGGGUAGGGGUAAAAUCCGUAGAGAUCAAGAGGAAUACUCAUUGCGAAGGCGACCUGCUGGAACAUUACUGACGCUGAUGCACGAAAGCGUGGGGAGCAAACAGGAUUAGAUACCCUUGUAGUC